GACGAACGCUGGCGGCGUGCCUAAUACAUGCAAGUAGAACGCACAGUUUAUACCGUAGCUUGCUACACCAUAGACUGUGAGUUGCGAACGGGUGAGUAACGCGUAGGUAACCUGCCUGGUAGCGGGGGAUAACUAUUGGAAACGAUAGCUACUACCGCAUAAUAUUAAUUAUUGCAUGAUAAUUAAUUGAAAGGUGCAAUUGCACCACUACCAGAUGGACCUGCGUUGUAUUAGCUAGUAGGUGAGGUAACGGCUCACCUAGGCGACGAUACAUAGCCGACCUGAGAGGGUGAUCGGCCACACUGGGACUGAGACACGGCCCAGACUCCUACGGGAGGCAGCAGUAGGGGAUCUUCGGCAAUGGACGAAAGUCUGACCGAGCAACGCCGCGUGAGUGAAGAAGGUUUUCGGAUCGUAAAGCUCUGUUGUAAGAGAAGAACGGGUGUGAGAGUGGAAAGUUCACACUGUGACGGUAUCUUACCAGAAAGGGACGGCUAACUACGUG
rnacentral:rRNA from 1 species